UAUCCUGGACGGGACGAACAACACCCGGGACCACGAGGACAUCCAGUCUUCAUUUGUCCUCGCAUACCAAAAGACAGUCUGGGCUGAUAUCUUCCGCGGAACCCACUUGCAAUCGAGGUGUGCAGGACAGUUUAGCCUUUGGAGCCAAACAGAUCCGCGGAAACAACCGGCAGGACGGUUCAGAAACCCUCAGUGCCCGCCGGCCUGUCAUUGGAACUCCUCCUCGGCGCCCUCACUUUCUCUUGGCAGUUUGCGAUGCUGACCUCCAGUGUCUCCUCGUGGAAUCGGGGCAUGGAGGACAACUUAGCCUUUGGAGCCAAACAAAUCCGCGGUAGCAAGCGGCGGGGCGGUCGUAGAAACACUCAGGUGUCUGUUUGCCAGCACCACCCCACAGUGCCCGCCUACCUGUCAUUUGGAGUCCCGAAGUAACUUCUGAUAAGCCACCGCCAUCUCGCUCGUUCAGCUCAGCUCCUCCUCUGCGGCUUCACCUGCUCGUGGCAGUUUGUGGUAGCAAGUGACGAGGCGGUCGCAGAGACCCAUAGGUGUGACUGCCUAUAGAAGUGUGGCGAUGAGGUGGAGCAACCGCCUGGCUGACCUGAAUAAGAAGACGACGUCUACACGCGAGUCCGGAGUAGUGAAGACGAUCUGCGCUGACGGAGAGACCCUGAGGAGUCGGCGACGAGAACGCACAGCAAGCGCGAUCUGCACUAACACAGUCCGCUACUGAAAUAACGUGGCGUCUCUGUCUGGAUGAUCCUCCGUGGGCUUCACAUGACAAGAUGACACGUAUUUGUGUUCGGACUGUGAUGGGCGUGUGUAGUGCUCGGUGGAGCGCCAGUCGUGUGCAGGUCUCAGUGUUAGAGAGCCGGUAACACCUCAUCCUACUGAUGUAACAGAGGACUACAACGACAGAAGCCGCAGCGCGAGAACGAAGCCCGGGCGCUGUGAGCCAUUCAAGCUGCGAGACUUCAUGGAACUCGCCUCGAAUUGGACAUGAUGUCACAGAUAAAGUACAAACAAA